rnacentral:rRNA from 1 species
UACGUAGGGUGCGAGCGUUAAUCGGAAUUACUGGGCGUAAAGCGUGCGCAGGCGGUUCGUUGUGUCUGAUGUGAAAGCCCCGGGCUCAACUUGGGAACGGCAUUGGAAACUGGCGAGCUAGAGUGUGGCAGAGGGGGGUGGAAUUCCGCGUGUAGCAGUGAAAUGCGUAGAGAUGCGGAGGAACACCGAUGGCGAAGGCAGCGCCCUGGGCUGACACUGACGCUCAGGCACGAAAGCGUGGGGAGCAAACAGG